AGGAGGUGGCCAAAUAAGGGAAGAAAAGGGAGGAAGGAGAACCACUAUUUUUCAACUUGAAUUUUCACUCCAAAUCAAGUCAUAAAGGGAAAAGUGAAGGUAAUUGCAGAAGUGGGGAAUCAGCUUAAUUUGGAGGAGAAGAGGUUUGUGCACAACUACUAUUAAACAAUUAAAUGUUUCUACAUAUUUAUGUUGAUAAAAUAGCUUUAUUGAUACGUGUUUUAUGUUCUUUAAAAUAUGAUUUUAUCAUAACAAUUGAUUGAAUUUCAUUAUUAUUAUGAUGAAUUUUCAUUGAAAUUAUGAUUUAUAUUGUGUUUUAUGUGAAGAGUAUUUGUUACGGAGAUUUGCAGUAAAUGGAUUCAUAUUGAGAUUUCAUACCCAUACAAAAGGAAAUGAAUUUAUGAUAUUGUUUUCAUAUCUCACGGCUAAUGCUUGACAUGGUUAUUAUCCGUUUCUCAUUUGUUGAGGUGACACAUGGGUGCUUAGAUGGAUGUGAUUUGGAUACCAUGGUAUGUACACAUUGAUAUGAUAUGGUCUCCCUUAUGUAAGAGAUGAGAUGAGAUUUAAAGAUGGCCCUUGCGUAUUAUUUAUGUAUAUGGUGUUAUGGAUGGCAUGUGCAUAGUGAUAUGAUAUGGUCUCUUUCAGGUAAGAGGUGAGAUGAGAUUUGAAGAUGGCCUUUGCGGAUUAAUCUUAUAUUAGACUG